AGUUCAUGAAAAUGAUGCAACGAAAAUAUUUAUGACACGUACGGACGAACGGACGGUACGACGGACGGACGGACAGACAGACAUGUAAAACAGUAUACCCCCACUUUUUCGAAGCGGUGGUCUAAUGAUUGGGUCAACAAUACUUAUAUGACAUAAUUAUCUUUAUAGCACUAUAAGCCCCAGUCACAAUCGGUGCCAAGACAAAAUAGAAAAAAAAAAACAC
rnacentral:lncRNA from 1 species